UUACUUGGGUGAAUGGCUCGCUUAUAAAAACAGCUUACUUAUAAAGGCUUUGGUUCAAGACCUUUCUUUCAAUUGCAUCAGCCAUUCCUAAACUAUUAUGUCACACAGUACUUUGCCCUGUUUCAAACGGUUCUCCACCUUGACCUUGCCUUUAACCAAUUGAUCGCAGACUCUGAAACCCUGUAAAUAUCCCACUUCUGACUUCUCCCUUCUGAGACACUGCUAAGCCUCCAUCAAGAUGGCAUUUUCUCUUACUGCAGGGAAAGCACAAACAAAAUCCCCCACUACCACAAAUUAUGCAGUUGAGUUUCCCACAUUUGGUGAAAUCACAGGUGUCAGCACAUCCAGAGUGCAAUGGAUAAGACUUGCCAUGGGAAAACCAUCUAUGUGAUCAUGGUAUCUCCCCUGCCAGAUGGAAUCUUGCUCUGUUGCCCAGGCUGGAGUG
rnacentral:lncRNA from 1 species